AUUGAACGCUGGCGGCAGGCCUAACACAUGCAAGUCGAACGAGUGGCGGACGGGUGAGUAAUGUCUGGGAAACUGCCUGAUGGAGGGGGAUAACUACUGGAAACGGUAGCUAAUACCGCAUACCAUCAGAUGUGCCCAGAUGGGAUUAGCUAGUUGGUGGGGUAACGGCUCACCAAGGCGACGAUCCCUAGCUGGUCUGAGAGGAUGACCAGUCACACUGGACAUGAGCCACGGUCCAGACUCCUACGGGAGGCCGCAGUGGGGAGUAUUGCACAAUGGGAGCAAGCCUGAUGCGGCCAUGCCGCGUGUAGGAAGAAGGCCGUCGGGUUGUAAAUUACUUUCAGCGGGGAGGCGUUACCCGCAGAAGAAGCACCGGCUAACUCCGUGCCGGCAGCCGCGGUAAUUC
rnacentral:rRNA from 1 species